rnacentral:rRNA from 1 species
GACAGAGGGUGCAAACGUUGUUCGGAAUUACUGGGCGUAAAGCGAGUGUAGGCGGUUUGGUAAGUCGGAUGUGAAAGCCCCGGGCUCAACCCGGGAAGUGCACUCGAUACUGCCAAGCUAGAGUAUCGGAGAGGUUGGCGGAAUUCUCGGUGUAGAGGUGAAAUUCGUAGAUAUCGAGAGGAACACCGGCGGCGAAGGCGGCCAACUGGACGAAUACUGACGCUGAGACUCGAAAGCGUGGGGAGCAAACAGG